rnacentral:rRNA from 1 species
AUACGGAGGAUCCGAGCGUUAUCCGGAUUUAUUGGGUUUAAAGGGUGCGCAGGCGGCCAUUUAAGUCAGCGGUUAAAUCGUGGGGCUCAACCCCAUUCUGCCGUUGAUACUGGGUGGCUUGAGUACGGUACAGGUGGGCGGAAUUCGUGGGGUAGCGGUGAAAUGCUUAGAUAUCACGAAGAACUCCGAUCGCGAAGGCAGCUCACCGGGCCGGAACUGACACUGAUGCUCGAAAGUGCGGGUAUCAAACAGGAUUAGAUACCCUGGUAGUCCGCACAGUAAACGAUGAAUACUUGUUUUCGGCGAUAUAAUGUCGGAGGCAAAGCGAAAGCGAUAAGUAUUCCACCUGGGGAGUACGCCGGCAACGGUGAAACUCAAAUGAAUUGGCGGGG